rnacentral:lncRNA from 1 species
UUUUCGUUCUCCAUAAAAAUAAAAAUAAAAUCAAACAAAAUUCAAUACCUUCCACCUCAAGCUUUCACGUCGGAUUCACCACUUGUGUCAUAUUACGUACUUUCCUGCUUGAGAAUGGGCCGGUGUCGUAUUACGUGCUUUCUUGCUCGAGAACGCACCGGACACCUAGCUGAAGAAGGUAGUAUGGAGAUUCACGAAUAGUCAAGCAGUCUAUCAGUUUUUGACUGUUGGAAUAUAAACGACUGCAAGAAUACAUCGUAAAUCUAUAUGGAUGCCCUUCGACUGCUCGCCGAAGUCCUUUUUGUCCCAGCCG